GGAGAGAUGGCUUAGUGGUUGAGAGCACUGGCUGAGAGCAUACCUCUUCCAGAGGUCCUGAGUUCAAUUCUCAGCAACCCCA
rnacentral:tRNA from 1 species